rnacentral:misc_RNA from 1 species
AGCAUGAGCUCCUCUGCUUUCUUUCCUUGCCUCAGCAGAGUGCAUAGUUAUACAUGCAUUUAUCAAAAGAUUCUCAAGCUCUAUAGUCUCUAUUAAAUCAGAAUUCCAUAUCAGACUCCGAUCACGAACUUUAACAUCAUGGAAACUCUCCCAGGCUUUGUCAAUCAACUGACAACCUUCUUCAAGUGUUUCUUGAGUACGAAACACAGCAGCAUUAUUCUGCAUUACCCGUUGCAUAUUAAGACGAAUACUUGAAGUUGGUAGUGAACCAUUUGAGUUUCUUAAUUUAUCCAACCAGGCAAUGGUCUUCUCACCAGCAUCAUUUUCAAGAGGCUUUUGUUUCUGCCCUGGCUUACUAAUCUCCGCAACCCGAUUUGCGCAAGCCCUCCCAAAGACAACUAUGUCAAGAAGAGAAUUUGCACCAAGCCUGUUUGCACCAUGGACUGAUGCACAAGCUGCCUCCCCGGCAGCCAUUAAGCCAGGAAUCACUGUAUCUGGAUUAUCACCUUUGAUAUCCACUACCUCUCCAUGGUAAUUUGUUGGGAUUCCACCCAUAUUAUAGUGCACUGUAGGUAAGACGGGAAUGGGCUCCUUGGUGACAUCAACACCAGCAAAGAUUGCAGCAGUUUCGGAUAUGCCAGGAAGCCUUUCCUUGAGAACCUCUGGGGGUAAGUGAUUCAGAUGCAGAUAAAUGUGAUCCUUCAGUGGCCCUACACCACGACCUUCUCUGAUUUCCAUAGUCAUCGAUCUAGACACAACAUCACGUGAUGCAAGAUCCUUGGCAGUAGGAGCAUACCGUUCCAUAAAGCGCUCACCUUCACUGUUCCUGAGGAUACCUCCUUCACCACGAGACCCUUCAGUAAUGAGACACCCAGCACCAUAUAUGCCUGUAGGGUGGAACUGUACAAACUCAAGGUCCUGAAGAGGUAAUCCAGCACGUGAAACCAUGGCAUUGCCAUCUCCAGUACAUGUGUGAGCCGACGUUGCCGAAAAGUAAGCCCUCCCAUAUCCCCCAGUAGCCAGAAUUGUUGAGGCUGCACGAAAACGGUGUAGUGUUCCAUCUUCCAUAUUGAGUGCAAUUACACCCUGACAGGCACCACUUUUGUCCAUGAUAAGAUCCAAGGCAAAAUAUUCCACAAAGAACUGUGUAUUGUGCCUCAUUGCUUGACCAUAAAGUGUAUGUAGCAAUGCAUGGCCAGUUCGAUCAGCAGCACAUGCACAACGAUAAGCUUGCCCACCUUUUCCAAAAUUCAAACUUUGGCCUCCGAAUGCACGCUGAUAUAUUUUGCCCUCAUCUGUUCGGGAGAACGGCAACCCAUAGUGUUCAAGCUCGAUGACUGCUUUAGGUGCCUCUCUGCACAUGUAUUGAAUUGCAUCCUGGUCACCUAACCAAUCACUUCCCUUGACGGUAUCAUACAUAUGCCACCUCCAGUCAUCUUCGGUCAUAUUUCCGAGGGCCGCAUUUAUACCACCCUGUGCCGCAACUGUAUGUGAGCGAGUAGGGAACAGCUUGGUGAUGCAAGCCGUAUUGAAUCCGUGCUCCGACAGCCCGAUCGCCGCCCUGAGCCCAGCGCCGCCAGCUCCCACAACAACCGCAUCAUAUGUGUGAUCCACAACCGUAUACCCCCCAGUCGAGUCAGCGGAGAAGGAUCGGCGGGCGGGUGAGGCGCCGGCGGGGAGCCUCUUGCUGGCGGCGGAUAGGCGGCGAAGGCCUUGGGAAACGGAGCUCCGCCACAUCCUGACCGUUUUCUCUCUCUUCGAGUUUCUCUCUCCUCGU